CCUACGGGAGGCAGCAGUGGUGGAUAUUGGACAAUGGGGGGAACCCUGAUCCAGCGACGCCGCGUGAGUGAAGAAGUAUUUCGGUAUGUAAAGCUCUGUCAGCAGGGACGAAAGAAAUGACGGUACCUGACCAAGAAGCCCCGGCUAACUACGUGCCAGCAGCCGCGGGAAUACGUAGGGGGCAAGCGUUAUCCGGAAUUACUGGGUGUAAAGGGAGCGUAGACGGUUAAGUAAGUCUGGAGUGAAAGGCCGGGGCCCAACCCCGGGACUGCUCUGGAAACUAUUGAACUUGAGUGCAGGAGAGGUAAGCGGAAUUCCUAGUGUAGCGGUGAAAUGCGUAGAUAUUAGGAGGAACACCAGUGGCGAAGGCGGCUUACUGGACUGUAACUGACGUUGAGGCUCGAAAGCGUGGGGAGCAAACAGGAUUAGAUACCCUAGUAGUC
rnacentral:rRNA from 1 species